UGGAUAACCUCGGGAAACUGAGGAUAAACCGCGAUAGGUCAUGAUUUCUGGAAUGAUUCAUGGCCCAAAUCUAUACGGCCCCUGGAUUGGACUGCGGCCGAUCAGGCUGUUGGUGAGGUAAUGGCCCACCAAACCUGUUACCGGUACGGGCUCUGAGAGGAGGAGCCCGGAGAUGGGCACUGAGACAAGGGCCCAGGCCCUAUGGGGCGCAGCAGGCGCGAAACCUCUGCAAUAGGCGAAAGCCUGACAGGGUUACUCUGAGUGGUUUCCGCUAAGGGAACCUUUUGGCACCUCUACAAAUGGUGCAGAAUAAGGGGUGGGCAAGUCUGGUGUCAGCCGCCGCGGUAAUACCAGCACCCCGAGUGGUCGGGACGAUUAUUGGGCCUAAAGCAUCCGUAGCCGGUCCUGCAAGUCUUCCGUUAAAUCCAGCUGCUCAACAGAUGGGCUGCGGGGGAUACUACAUGGCUAGGAGGCGGGAGAGGCAAGCGGUACUUUAUGGGUAGGGGUAAAAUCCGUUGAUCCAUAGAAGACCACCAGUGGCGAAGGCGGCUUGCCAGAACGCGCUCGACGGUGAGGGAUGAAAGCUGGGGGAGCAAACCGGAUUAGAUACCCGGGUAGUCCCAGCUGUAAACGAUGCAGACUCGGUGAUGGGCUGGCUUCGUGCCAACCCAGUGCCGCAGGGAAGCCGUUAAGUCUGCCGCCUGGGGAGUCCGCUCGCAAGACUGAAA
rnacentral:rRNA from 1 species